AAUUAAUCCUAUCUCCGAGCCGGAUCAACCUAAUGAGUAAUCUAUGGUAACCGGCCAGGGCUUAAAGCCCUCGGGGUGUACCUGGAAACGGGUAUGCCUUCACUAUUGAAAAGGAGGUGACCAGGCCAGUUA
rfam:Desulfosporosinus sp. Tol-M Desulfosporosinus_sp._Tol-M_Contig_2, whole genome shotgun sequence.